AGUUCUGUUGUAGCUAACAUUAGUUCUAGUGCCUGUAGGAGGACUUGUGCAGCUAACAUUGGUGCUAGUACGCGAUCAGAACUGCGUAGCUAACUAAGAGUGAUGGUUAGCCCUGCCUGCCCCUGCAUAUUACCAUCAAAACAACAUAAUAUCAAUGUUUCAUUGUGGGCUAAAAGUAAAACUUAAACAGCGUUUGUAAGAAUGUUUUUUUCCUUUCUAGUACUUUUACUCUGCACUUACCAAAGCUCUUAUAUUCUACAGGGUCUGACUUUGAUGCCAUCAGUUCUUAAUCCCUGCUAAUUAAUCACCUAUGCUGAGAGGUUGUCCUGACAUCACUGUGAUAUACAUAAUACAUGGACUAGAGUACUACAAUAUUGUUACACCACUACAACUUUUACCAGCUGGGAGUUGGAGUCACAGUGACUGACCUCUAAUGUGCUAAUGAUAAUAAUAAACUCAGUAGUGUUCUACUUGUGUGCGUGGUGGAUGUGACUCAGACAAGCAGAGUGUUCUUCAUUUGAGUGAGAGGAUAAAGAAACACCCGCAGGCAGAGCCAGGCACCUGGGACUGAAUUGGGCUCCAGGAAAAUGAUAGAAAAAGACUGCAAUUACUAUGAAAAUGUCUGUUCUUGGAUAAAAGAAAAAUCUGUUUUUAGUUUCAUCUUCGUCUUGUUCCGCUCUGCUUUGUUGUUUAGUCUGAGAUUCUUUGUUAGAAAUAUGUUUUAACUGGGUGAUUACAGAAGAUAUUCUGUUAAAAUGGUGAGACUGUUGCAUGGUUAAGGCUCUAUUCUGGUGGAAUUAUGUAAUUACACUUAAAAAAUCGGAAUGAAUUUAAGUCUGCUGCUAAUAUCUUGGUAUCACUUGUUUUCAGUUAGAGCACAUAGUGGUAGAGUGGUUAGCACAACAUUAGUGUUUGUGUCUUUACUAGGGCAUUUGUAGCUAACAUUAGCUCUGGUGUCGGCACCAAGACGUUUGUAGCUAACAUUAGUGUUUGUGUCUUUACCAGAGCAGUUGUAGCUAACAUUAGUGUUUGUGUGUGUGCGUGUUUGUCUCAUUGCGCUGAAAUUGUCGAUAAAUAUGAGCGUGGUGCCCGCUUAAAAAAAGUAUAUAAAUCGAAAAAAGCAACGACAACAAAAAUAGAAAAGUUAAAGAAAUACGUAAGUUAAUUGUAAGUUACGGAGUGUACCGGUAAGCAACGCUACGGAAUCAAGUGUCUACGUACGUGCCAACUCUCUCCCCUCCCUCCUUCUCCGCACAUGCCGCGCCGUUAGCCGCUACUGUAUUGUCUGGUUUGAAGUGUACGUCUCUGUAGGUGUAUGAGAGCACACGCCAGUGUUUUUCCUUCACAGCUGCACUGAUUCCGGGUGAGAAGCAGCGCACCUGUGGGCGUGAUCCUAAUCAGCUGUGGAGAAGGCUAUGAGGCCCAGCUCCAUGAGGACUCAGUGCCACAGCGUUUGCCAUGUUUUGUGAGACGUCGGCUGAGAAAAAUUGAUACCAUCCUUGGAGUGUGGACCACAGAUGUUACCCGGAUGGUGAGCUGCAGUCUGAGGAGGCCUCGGUGCUCGACUGUCACCACGUCUCUGUCACGGACGAGAAGCUGGGUGUCUGCAGUUGGUUGGCAGUGGCUGGGAAGUGAGAGAGUCAACGCUCGGCUGUUUCUACUGGACUGGAGAGUUGCCCAGAGUGGACCCCACCCUCAUGAGAUGGCUGCUGGGCUUGGAGCUGCCCCCAAGCCUGAGAUUUGGAACCAGAAUCCCACAGCACCACCAGGUCAGCGUUGGUCAGCUCCCCGCGGUCCGACAUCCCUAGAACUACCCCGUACUUGAGCUUUGCUGUCGCCGUCAGCCGUAUGUACACCUCCUGGUUGGCGUCGCUGAUGUUCCAGG